AUUGGGAGGGACUGAAGCUCGCUUCCGGCUUGGGAAGUGCGGGGCCAUCGGCACGUGUGUCAUUUCUCGGAUUUCUGUAUUAACCCUGCUUCUGGUGAACUUGUGUGGCCGGCAUUCCUUUAAGGCCUAAGGAUGAAGGCGAGAAGAAAUAAAAAACAGAUCCCAAGCUUUCGCAAGUUAAUAAAAACUAGUAAAGUCAAACUUGAAAACAAGCUAAAAAAUAAGCAAUUUAAACAACAAAGCACUCUCAAGAAGUACCGAAAAGAACAGAGGAAACUAAGGCAAGCGGUGAAAGAUGCUGUGUCUAAGAAACCCAUUCCAUUGGAGAACCCAAAGGAAAAGCGACCAGGUAAAAGGAUUGAGAGGGAAGAAGAGGAAGAAGAAGCCCUUCCUUUAGAUAUGAUGGAUGAAGAUGACUUACAGUUAAUGAAGGAUUUAGGACAAAGAGCAUCUUUUCUAACAAGAGAUCUUUCUUCUAGUGAGCCUGUUCAUGCGAAGAAACGGAAGCAUGAACACAUUAUAGAUAAAUAUGAAAAAAUACCAAGAACUCUGCAAACUGCACCAGAGAAGGAACUGAUUCAUUUGCUUCCUAUCAAAGAUAAAAGUGGUAUAAUCCCACAGACUAGGGAGAAGCCAGUUACUGAUAGUAACAAAGAUGAAGAGGAUCAAGAAGAAGAGAGGGAACUUGAGGAAGAGAUCACUGAAGAUCCUAUUCAAGAGCUGACCAUAGAAGAACAUUUGAUUGAGAGAAAGAAGAAAUUACAGGAGAAGAAGAUGCAUAUUGCAGCCUUGGCAUCUGCCGUAUUAUCAGAUCCAGAAAGUAAUAUUAAAAAAUUGAAAGAAUUACGUUCUAUGCUGAUGGAACAAGAUCCUGAUGUGGCUGUUACUGUUCGAAAGCUAGUAAUUGUUUCUCUGAUGGAGUUAUUUAAAGAUAUUACUCCUUCAUAUAAAAUCCGGCCCCUCACAGAAGCAGAAAAAUCUACUAAGACCCGAAAAGAAACACAGAAGUUAAGAGAAUUUGAAGAAGGCCUGGUUAGCCAGUACAAAUUUUAUUUGGAAAAUCUGGAACAAAUGGUUAAAGAUUGGAAGCAGAGGAAGCUGAAGAAAAGUAAUGUAGUUUCCUUAAAGGCAUACAAAGGACUGGCAGAAGUUGCUGUGAAGAGCUUGUGUGAGCUGUUGGUGGCACUACCCCAUUUUAACUUUCACAACAACAUUAUCGUAUUGAUUGUCCCUCUCAUGAAUGACGUGUCAAAAUCGAUAUCUGAAAUGUGUUGUGAAGCUGUAAAGAAACUCUUUAAGCAAGAUAAAUUAGGCCAAGCUUCUCUUGGUGUAAUUAAAGUGAUUUCUGGUUUUGUGAAGGGCAGAAAUUAUGAAGUUAGGCCAGAGAUGUUAAAAACAUUUUUAUGCCUAAGAAUCAAGGAAGUAGAAGUGAAAAAAGAUACAGAAGACAUUAAUAAACCAAAAAAAUUUAUGACUUUCAAAGAAAAGAGAAAAUCUCUAUCAAGAAUGCAGAGGAAGUGGAAGAAAGCAGAAGAGAAACUAGAGCGAGAGCUUCGAGAGGCAGAAGCUUCAGAGAGUGCUGAGAAAAAACUUAAACUGCACACAGAGACUCUGAAUAUUGUGUUUGUAACCUACUUCAGAAUAUUGAAGAAGGCCCAGAGGUCACCUCUCCUGCCAGCAGUUCUAGAAGGUCUUGCCAAGUUUGCUCACCUUAUAAAUGUGGAAUUUUUUGAUGAUCUGUUAGUAGUUCUUCAUACUCUUAUCGAGUCUGGUGACCUAAGCUAUCAAGAAAGUCUUCACUGUGUCCAGACUGCUUUUCAUAUUCUUUCUGGACAAGGUGAUGUUCUGAAUAUUGAUCCAAUGAAAUUCUACACACACCUCUACAAAACACUAUUCAAAUUACAUGCAGGUGCUACCAAUGAAGGUGUUGAGAUUGUACUCCAGUGCCUUGAUGUCAUGCUAACUAAGCGCAGAAAGCAAGUUUCUCAGCAGCGAGCUCUUGCCUUCAUCAAACGCCUUUGUACCCUUGCUCUUCAUGUUCUUCCAAAUUCAAGUAUUGGCAUUUUAGCAACUACCAGAAUAUUAAUGCAUACUUUCCCCAAAACAGAUCUACUGCUUGACAGUGAAUCUCAGGGAAGUGGAGUUUUCCUCCCUGAACUGGAUGAGCCUGAAUACUGCAAUGCUCAGAACACUGCUCUGUGGGAACUACACGCUCUGCGGAGGCAUUAUCAUCCCAUAGUGCAGAGAUUUGCAGCCCACCUGAUCGCUGGAGCACCUUCUGAAGGCUCUGGAGCACUCAAACCAGAGUUGAGUCGAAGAUCUGCUGCUGAACUUUUUGAGGCGUAUAGCAUGGCAGAAAUGACAUUCAAUCCUCCUGUUGAAUCUUCAAACCCCAAAAUAAAGGGUAAAGUUUUACAGGGGGAUUCAUUUUUGAAUGAAGAUUUAAAUCAACUAAUCAAAAGAUACUCCAGUGAAGUUGCUACUGAAUUGCCUCUGGAUUUCACAAAAUAUUUGAAAACAUCACUACACUAGUAGAGGAAUGAAGUCAGUGGACUUUCUUGUAUACUUGUGUGUGCAGAUGUACAUAAAGAUGAGUUGUUAACUUAGGACUUUUUCUUUUUAUACAAGGAAAGCUUCCUAAGAAUGACUAGGAAGAGGAGGAAGAAUGACCCUUGGCAUGGCACGGGGUUCUGCCCCUAUUCUGAAUAUGGCAUUUCAUCAAGGAGGUCAAAGCCUUUUUUCUCCCCAGUAUUUGGAAAUUACUUUCUUAAUGAUGCUGCCUUUUAAAAGCUUCACGUGCAUUAUAGUUUUUUAAAAAGAUCUUUGGACUGGAUCUUACUGAAGUGCAGUUGCUAUAUUAAAAUUAGGGCAGAGAGCACAGAAAAAUCAAGACCAUGAGAAGACAUUUAGCUACUUUUUAUAACUAAAUACUCUUUAAAUAUUUUCAUUGCAAUACUGUGGAUGGAAAUGAGAAGCAUUCUAAAUUUGAGUUAAUAUAUUUUUAUGAAGAUUUUUGAGAAAAGAAAAAAAUAGCCGGUAUUCAGGUUCAUUGGCUUUUGCUGGAUGAUCCACUUAAGUUACCUAAUUUGGCCUUUUAAAAAAGGUAUUAGUGUUCAUUAUAGCUACUUUCAAGGAAAGUUUGAAUAUGAUUCUAGUCUCUGAAGUUCUUCACAUUUUCUGUCAUUCCCUGGAGGGUGACUGGGGAAGAAUUGCUCUACGGUAGAAGAACCAGGCCCAAGACUUCACCAUUCUAUUCUAGGGACAAAGGAUACUCAAUGAGGAGCUUUUUUCCCCCUCUUGGAACAGGUUACUACAAAAGGCUGAACUUGAAGGGAGUAAAGGUCAGUCGCAGCAAAGAAACUCCCUUGGUUGCCUUCCUGUGAGAAGUAGCUUGGUAAUGAGAGAAAGCUGCCACCAUCUGGCCUGGAUUAAGCAAACACCCUUCUCCUCAGGCCCCUGCCAAUAAGGCAAAGCCCAGAGUGAACACAUCUCGCCAGGAGGAAAAGCAGAAUGUGAUGGACUGAGGGCGGUGGAAGUGAAGGUUCUCAGGAAGACUCAAAUCUCUCUGCCCCAGCCCUUGGUCUAUAAUGGAUGCAAUGCUGUUGACUCAAAAGGGGGCCAAGGCAAAUACUGCAGGGAUAAUUCAGGAUGUAAAGCUUCUGGACCACCUCCACAAGAGGGCCAGCAUCACCCCCUGCUCAGUCCUGCUUUACAUCUGUGUGCUGAUUUGCAUGGGUGACAAUAAAGCAAUGGACUGCUA